UGCAGCUGCUGACAGGAGCAAGGCAGGGAGGCUGUGCAAGGGAAUAUUCCACAGCACCAGCAUUUCGGGAGCGUUUGCAGCUACGGGACAGGGAGAGAAGCUGUUUCGUUUUUUUAGCACAGACAAAGAGCCCAGACCAGCCUUUUUUUUUUUUUUUCCCCUGUGUGGGCUGAAGAAUCAGCAGGACAAGGUUUGAAAAGCCUGACACCGGCAGGAAGCUGUUCCCUUCCAAGGCAUCCCCCUCCCGAAUAACCCACUGACCUCCAGCGAGGAGCUCCCUCCUUCCCGCCGGGAUCGCUCGGGAAGAGCAGAGGGGAAGAUCUUCUGGCUCAGUUUGAAGCCUCAUCAUCUGUGAUGCCACGUGCAGGUUUUAGUGUCAAUAACUGGAAGUGGUUCAGGCCCUUUCCUGAAGGAUCCACGAGGGGA